AGAGUUUGAUCCUGGCUCAGGAUGAACGCUAGCGACAGGCUUAACACAUGCAAGUCGAGGGGCAGCACAGGUAGCAAUACCGGGUGGCGACCGGCGCACGGGUGAGUAACGCGUAUGCAACUUACCUAUCAGAGGGGGAUAACCCGGCGAAAGUCGGACUAAUACCGCAUGAAGCAGGGGCCCCGCAUGGGGAUAUUUGCUAAAGAUUCAUCGCUGAUAGAUAGGCAUGCGUUCCAUUAGGCAGUUGGCGGGGUAACGGCCCACCAAACCGACGAUGGAUAGGGGUUCUGAGAGGAAGGUCCCCCACAUUGGUACUGAGACACGGACCAAACUCCUACGGGAGGCAGCAGUGAGGAAUAUUGGUCAAUGGCCGAGAGGCUGAACCAGCCAAGUCGCGUGAGGGAUGAAGGUUCUAUGGAUCGUAAACCUCUUUUAUAAGGGAAUAAAGUGCGGGACGUGUCCCGUUUUGUAUGUACCUUAUGAAUAAGGAUCGGCUAACUCCGUGCCAGCAGCCGCGGUAAUACGGAGGAUCCGAGCGUUAUCCGGAUUUAUUGGGUUUAAAGGGUGCGUAGGCGGCCUUUUAAGUCAGCGGUGAAAGUCUGUGGCUCAACCAUAGAAUUGCCGUUGAAACUGGGGGGCUUGAGUAUGUUUGAGGCAGGCGGAAUGCGUGGUGUAGCGGUGAAAUGCAUAGAUAUCACGCAGAACCCCGAUUGCGAAGGCAGCCUGCCAAGCCAUUACUGACGCUGAUGCACGAAAGCGUGGGGAUCAAACAGGAUUAGAUACCCUGGUAGUCCACGCAGUAAACGAUGAUCACUAGCUGUUUGCGAUACACUGUAAGCGGCACAGCGAAAGCGUUAAGUGAUCCACCUGGGGAGUACGCCGGCAACGGUGAAACUCAAAGGAAUUGACGGGGGCCCGCACAAGCGGAGGAACAUGUGGUUUAAUUCGAUGAUACGCGAGGAACCUUACCCGGGUUUGAACGCAUUCGGACCGAGGUGGAAACACCUUUUCUAGCAAUAGCCGUUUGCGAGGUGCUGCAUGGUUGUCGUCAGCUCGUGCCGUGAGGUGUCGGCUUAAGUGCCAUAACGAGCGCAACCCUUGCCACUAGUUACUAACAGGUAAAGCUGAGGACUCUGGUGGGACUGCCAGCGUAAGCUGCGAGGAAGGCGGGGAUGACGUCAAAUCAGCACGGCCCUUACAUCCGGGGCGACACACGUGUUACAAUGGCGUGGACAAAGGGAGGCCACCUGGCGACAGGGAGCGAAUCCCCAAACCACGUCUCAGUUCGGAUCGGAGUCUGCAACCCGACUCCGUGAAGCUGGAUUCGCUAGUAAUCGCGCAUCAGCCAUGGCGCGGUGAAUACGUUCCCGGGCCUUGUACACACCGCCCGUCAAGCCAUGGGAGCCGGGGGUACCUGAAGUCCGUAACCGCGAGGAUCGGCCUAGGGUAAAACUGGUGACUGGGGCUAAGUCGUAACAAGGUAGCCGUACCGGAAGGUGCGGCUG
rnacentral:rRNA from 2 species